rnacentral:rRNA from 1 species
GACGAACGCUGGCGGCGUGCUUAACACAUGCAAGUCGAACGGAAAGGCCCUGCUUUUGUGGGGUGCUCGAGUGGCGAACGGGUGAGUAACACGUGAGUAACCUGCCCUUGACAUUGGGAUAACUUCAGGAAACUCGGGCUAAUACCGGAUAGGAGCUCCUGCAGCGUGGUGGGCGUUGGAAAGUGUCGGCGGUGGUGGCUGGACUCGCGGCUUAUCAGCUUGUUGGUCGGGUAGUUGCAUUCCAAGGCUUCGACGGAUAGCCGGCCUGGGAGGGUGGCCAGCCACAUUGGGACUGCGGUACGGACCAGACGGGUAUGGGAGGCAACGGUGGGGAGUCUUACACAGUGGGGCGACGCGUGUGGCGGCGGCGUCGCGAGCGUAAUGCCGGCCUACGGGUUAUGAACCGCUUUGGCCUGUGACAUGGCGGGCGUGACGGUAAUGGGUCAAGAAGCACCGGCUAACUACGUG